rnacentral:lncRNA from 1 species
AAAUAAAGAGUUAGUUUACUUAUUCCAUUCCCAAUCUCUCGAACUACGGAAGAUCUGAUUCAUGUGGGGUUAUGAUAUGUAGGCAAUCCCCAUCGAAUUCGAUCACAGCCAUAAAUAAACUGAAUGAAGAAUAAAUCGAAAAAGAAAAAAAAAUUGAGCCAAAAGGGAAGAAAAAUUGAAAAAAAAGAUAGCAACAAAAAAAAAUAAAAGUAAAAAAAAUGCAAUCGUUCAAACACACGGUAAAAGCGUUUAACUGUUAGGUGCAUUGUAUCCCAACGUGCGAUUUCUUAUAUGUUAAAUGUCCAAAACUAACAAGGUUGUUGUGUGAGCAAAUUAGACAGGUUCUGUUCAGGUGGUUGGUUUUGUUGGUAUGCGGUGAUGAACGCUCAACUUUGCACGUGGCCACAACAUUAUACACAAAGUCUAUCUCCACCUCCCAGAAAUGCCCAUGCUUACACAACUCGGCCAAACACUGAGUCCCCCUCGCGUCGAGCUGAUGCUAGAUGUGAAUACCACUCUAGAGUAGUCGGACACGGUACAAAGGACUAUUGGUCGUUGGACACUCAAAAUGGCAGUUGAAGACUUGAUUGAAGUGAAAGAAUCUUUCUUCGGGACGAAAAGGUUCCUAAUAUGAUCAACAUUUCCCUUCCUACUUUCAUAAAAAGGCCAAUAAUCAGAAUAGUAUGUGAAGCUGAGGAAUGUGAUCUGGAACUGAAGGUCGUUUCAACCAUUGCCAAAACUAAAGGAAAGCCAAAAGUCGAUCGCUAAGCAUGAAAGAUCCCCAUCAGACGGGAGUCUCGGUAGCCAGUUUUGCUAUCCUUCCUGCAUCCGGAUUAUCUUAGGGUG